rnacentral:lncRNA from 1 species
CUCACUCCUAAUAAAAGUAUGCAAUAUUUUACAUACAUGUAAUAUUUUACAGUCUAUCAGUAGCUCCAACCUGAAACAUAAUCAUUUGCCCCUUUGGUUGUUUAAAGUAAAAAUUCUCUUCUUUCAGGGAUAGGAAAACUAAGAUGUUACAGGUAUAGCUGCUUGCAAAUAUUUGUGAGUUACAGAGCUGGGUGGCACUUCAUCCAAACUCCAAAGUUCAAGUCAACAGCCCAUUCAGUGGUAACUAUUUUAGUGAACAAAGAUCUCCUGACUAUGUCUAUUUGUCCAAAUUCUACUCUCUCAUUUCAUUUCUAUUUCCCCUCACCCCACACAACACAUACAUGACUCAAACCUCAUAAACAAUGCAUGAAAGUGCACACAUCUCACACAAAUACACAUAUCACAUAGUUUUCACAUACUACAGAAACACACACAUUUACCUCAUAAACAGAACACAUUAACAUAUUCACUCUCCACACACACGCACACCUCAAAGACACACAGAACACAGUAAAAUAUACACAUUUCACUCACACACUUCCAUAUAUACCUGUCACACCACACAUAUACGUACCUCACAGACACACAUAACACAUGCCACACACACUACACUCACAUAAAAACUCAUGCAUUUAACAUUCAUAUAUAUAAACACAAAUCACAUAUAAAUCUCACAUACAUGCAAUCAACUCACAGGGACACACAUGUAUGUUCACAUACAGGGAAGAAAAGUUGUGAAUGUGGUCCAUCAGGUUACAAGACAUUAGACUAUAUUCUCCAGGGAAGGACACAGACUGAGUUCUUGAGAGUCUUCUCAAAUAAGAAUUACAGAUGAAAAGAUACAAGCCCCAUCUGCUAUGCUUCUACUUAUUUUUCAAAAAGGCACAGCAUAAGAGAGGAUCUGAUAAAAAGGGCAUGGCCAGAAAGACUCUUCAGAUGUUUUCCAAGCAUCCUGUCUUCUUCAGCAUUCAACAUCCACAGAAACAGAACACGUUAAAGGCUCUCAACACUAAUUGCUAA